rnacentral:lncRNA from 1 species
AACCCAAAGUUGCACACAUCAUUUCCUUCUCAUUUCCUUGUUGUUUCAAGUCAUUUGUUUUNCAAAAAUACUUGUAAAUGGCCAUUAAGCAAGUGACUUGGAAGAAUUCACAAGUGUUCUUCCAUCACUUGUAAAUUUUUUUGCUCUUANUUCUUCAUUAAAAUUGGUAGACGGUGAGUGUGUCUUGGAUCUAAAGUCCAAGCCUCACCUAAGAGACCUCAGUUCUUUCAAUUCUUCAAAGUUUUUGGAAAUGUCUUAAAGUUUAGUUUUCUCUUCAUGAUUGAUUGCUUCUAGACUUUUGUUGAAUUUAGAGGUAAUUUUGAUUUAAGGAUUUUUAGUAAGUAGCUAGAAG